UGCUCAAUAACUAACUUAAUAUUUCAUUCAAUAGAAUUAUGGUGCAAAAGGAGCACUAACCCCACAGGUCUUAUGCUGACAAUGUGGACACAGAUAUAGGAAACUCUGAAGGCAGUUGUAAUAUUCACCUAGCAGGCUAAGCUAACACUAGACUACGUCGCCUUAGCGUUA